rnacentral:lncRNA from 1 species
AUCGUCGUUGAUCUCUCACCGGAGAACCCAUCUUCGGUACUGUCCGAUCGGAAUAGGAGAGAAGAAGCAAGCUCCUGCAGGUUACUACACACGCCGUCACCUUCAGGUUACUGCAAACAUUCUUUUCUCUUCCUUCGAAUCCUGCGGACAGAUGACCUAUUCAGUGUUAAAUUCGACCAAUUCUUGAUUCAUUGCGUAUUGUUUGUAGUUGGAAUUUGUUGAAAAAUGAUUGCAAGUUAUGGAUUUUCGGGGUUUUCAAUGAUUGAUAAGCGAGAAGUUGUUUACAGAGUUGCGUUUUUUACCAUAGUUGAUAGCAAAUGCUGAUGGUGGAUUUUUUAAUCGUCAUAGUGAGCUUUAGAUUUGACGAUUAUUUGGGAGUGAAGCUUCCCAGUUUAGGUGCUUUGGUAAAAUUGGAUAGGAGAGGAAGAGGGUAGUCAUUUUGACAAUUGCUUCUGUUACUAUUUCUAGUCUGUCAUUUAGUAUGUUGAUUGCAUCUAAUAUGCCUUUUUUUUGAAGGUAAAAAGAUGAUGAAGGGUGUUGCGAUGUGGCUUACAAUAGCAGUUUUCGCAGCUCUUCUUCACGAGCCAAUGGCCGUCCCAUCACCAACUUCCCCGGCUCUUCUAUUUUCUCCUCACUUGCGGUAGGUUUUCCUUGUUCCUUUUAUUUGUUGCUAAGCUCUUUCUCAUGAACCACCUUCCC